UACGAAGGGGGCUAGCGUUGUUCGGAAUUACUGGGCGUAAAGCGCGCGCAGGCGGCUAUCCAAGUCAGUGGUGAAAGCCCGGAGCUCAAUUCCGGAACUGCCAUUGAAACUGUUUAGCUUGAGGACGAGAGAGGUGAGUGGAAUUCCCAGUGUAGAGGUGAAAUUCGUAGAUAUUGGGAAGAACACCGGUGGCGAAGGCGGCUCACUGGCUCGUAUCUGACGCUCAGGCGCGACAGCGUGGGGAGCAAACGAGG
rnacentral:rRNA from 1 species